CCCUUAGAUGUCCUGGGCCGCACGCGCGUUACACUGAUGCAUUCAACGAGCUUAUAACCUUGGCCGAGAGGCCUGGGCAAUCUUGUUAACGUGCAUCGUGAUAGGGAUAGAUUAUUGAAAUUAUUAAUCUUGAACGAGGAAUUCCUAGUAAACGCAGAUCAUCAAUCUGCAUUGAUUACGUCCCUGCCCUUUGUACACACCGCCCGUCGCACCUACCGAUUGGAUGGUCCGGUGAAGCCUCGGGAUUGUGGUUCUUGCCGCUUUAUUGUAGCGUGACCGCGAGAACUUGUCUAAACCUUAUCAUCUAGAGGAAGGUGAAGUCGUAAC
rnacentral:rRNA from 1 species